CAAACCACAGGCAGCUUUGAGCAGGUGCCAGCAACACCAGCAGAUGCAAUUUCUGUGCUGUUAUGCUUUUGCCUAGACCUGAACAAGAUCACAGCUCCUCCUGUGAGUCACUGAUCCUACUGAUGAACCCCAACCCGCCUGAUGUCCUGGAUAAGGAGAGGUGCAGAUUCCCACAGGAAGACUGGACUCAUCUCACCACCACUGAACCCUGUCUACAGGGUCAUCUCUACUCCUACAGAACCACAUCUGUCACUCCAGGAGGAUUUAUUGGACUGCUUCCAACACCCUGGCCAACAGGGUGUCAGGUUGUAUUCCUGACUCUAUCAGGGCUUUCUAGGACUUUUGUUUGCUUGCUUGUUUUUUUGUAUUACUGCACUUGCAUUUUUAAUAUUCCUAGUAAAGAACUAUUAUUCCUACACCCAUA